GGCGAUGCGCCGCCCCGGCCGAGGCGCCGGGCCCGGGAUGCCGGGCCGGGACGCGGAGGUCACUGCGAGUUAAAGGCGCGCGGCCACAUUGCGGAGAACCCCCGACCGCGCUGCGCUGCGGCCGUUUUGUCAGCUUGGCUUCUCGUUUGGGUUUCCAAUAACGCUUAGGUGUUGUAAACAACAAAAAUAAACCUGAUUCUUCUUACGUCUUUGCGCUUUUUUCCAUUUGUGACGAUGCAACGUUCAAAAUCAUGUUUUAUGCUGUUCUACAUAUUCUCAGGUGCCGAGGUACAGAGACAGGGAUAUGAAACCUUUAUGAACCUAUGAUCUUUCCAGGUUGAUACUGCAACCCCCCCCCCCAAAAAACCGCACUGGGUUCUAAAUGGUUAAGAUUCAGGAGUUUUAGCACAAUUUGGUGCUUUUCCAAGGCUUUAAUUCUUUGCGGAGGGGGGGGGGCAGGUUCUCGAAGAACGACACAGAGGGGGGCGAGGUUUCAGCAACAAACAUGAUAGAACCUAGAACUUCCAUUCAAUAUCUAAGGGCUGCCCUCUGUAACCUGGGGCCAGUGUAACUGAUCUAUCUCCCGGGAACCCGGGGGUAAACAAACAAAAAUCACUAAGCAACUUGCAUUUACACUAAUCAAAAUUUAUUACUUAUUAAUACAAAAUGUAUUACCGUAAACCAGUUAGCUAAUAUUCAAUGAUAUUUUUUAAAAGUUAGAAAAGGACAGUCUCCCAAAAGGCACAUUUUGCUAAAUUGUCUUCUUUACUGUAAGAGGACUGCUAAGAACAGAAAGCCUCCAGCUUUAGAAGCUAAAGAAGACUAAAUGUGUAGAGAACCAUAAAGGUAAUAAAAAAUAAUUGUAUUAAUGAACGCAUGAGAUAUUGACAUUUAGAUAUCUCAAUCCAAUUCAACAACUACCCUACAUCCCAUGAGCCAGAAGUGGUUAUAUGAAUGAUUAUAACGGUUACGACUGAAGGCUAAUGGUGAUUGCUGUGACAACUGUGAUACUUAUUCAUUUAGCAAAUGAUUUUUGACUGUCUAGUAUAUGCUGUGAUGGAUGCCGGGCAAACAGAACAACACACAUGGCCCCACGUAACUUAUGGUCUAGGUAGUAAGCAAAUAAAUGCACGGAUUGUGUUAAGGUCUACAAAGAAGAAUCACCUCCAUGAAAAAAUGACAGUUAAUCUGAGACCUACAGUAUGUGGAGUCAUCCAAGCAAAGAGUAGGGAGAGAGAUGUUUCAGAAACUGGGAACAGUGCAUGCAAAGGCCCUGAGGUGGGAAAGAAACUUGGCUUCUGUUGGAAGAAGUGAAAGAAGGCCAGUGUGGCUGGAAUUGGAGCAUAAGAGGAAGGCGUGUGAUGAGAUCACGGAUGAAGCCAAGAGCUGGAUCACGAAAGGACUUGCAGGCCACGUUAAGGGUUUUGUAUUCUAUUGUAUUAUGUGAGCCACUGAAGGGUUUUAAGCAAAGAAGCAAUGAUAGUUUCAGAAUUUCUAUAUAAAAGGGGCUUAGAAGAGGGAUUCUGUUUAGGGGAGGGGUCAUCCAGGACUUUUCCGGACUGUAAAUUUGAAUCGCACUUGACUUAAAACUGAGAAAAUAUUCAUUGUUCAUCUGAAGGAAUGGGGGUGGCUUGAUGGAUAUUCUGGGAGGAGAGCUACAGCUCCACUCAGCUGCCUCUGAAUGCUGGCCUUUGCAGAGCAGCGAUAUCACCCAGUGUCCAUACGCAACAGAAUGCUCUUGGAGCCAAAGCCAAAUAGCCAGACACAGAAGAACCAGGCGGUAAACAGGCUGGGUUGGCUUAAUCGAAUCAGAUAGGAAAGCAGGAGAGGUAGAGACAGUUAAGUAAUUUAUCCAUCCAAAUUAAGUGGCAACAUCAAAAGAAGUUAUGAAGGUAAGACUUGAACCUAGCAAACAACAUACUGUGAAACCAACGCUAUGUAAAGAAAGUGGAAUCCCAUUAUUACAGCCACUGUUAAAAUCAGACUCAGUGUGUCCAUCUGUCCUAUGAAAAGAUUCACUCUGGUCAUACUCAACCUCUAGGUCCCUAGUCCUAGUUUCAAAUUGCUCAACCUACUUGAGACAGUCAAGUAUCUGGGUCUUGAACUGUCCAUCAAGUAAGCUCAGUUGUAUAAUCCCAGGUUUUCCUAGUAGGAAAGUUUAGAAUUAAAUAGUGAAAUGAUACAGCAAAUCACUUUCACAGUACUCGUAAUUUUUAAAUCAGGCUUAAUAAUUUGUACAUUUGGUAUUUACACAUCAGAUAGAGACACUAAUUAGACACACAUUUGCUUUGUGAUUCUAAUUCAGAUGUAUACAGUUGGCCCUUGAACAACCAGGUUAAUUCAAGUAUAAUUUAUAGCAGCCAUUCCAUCCACGGUUCCUCAGAUUCAAUCAACCACGGAUGGACCAUGUGGUAUUUACUAUUGAAAAAUACCCACGUGUAAGUGGAAAUGGGUAGUUCAAACCUGUGUCAUUCAAGGGUCAACUGUAAUUGAUUUUAGACUUGUAAUUUUAAGUUGAAAGGUAGAAGAAUUUUGACUUUGAUGCGCUCCUCAUUUAAAACCUUGGUUUAUUAGAUUUACAAGAGUUGAAUGAAUUUAAUAGUUACAAGUAUGUAAGCUCCAUGAAGGCAAGGAAUGUUUUCUGUUUUAUUCAUUGCAGUUCAUAGCUGUGUCCAGUGGCUCACAGUAACUGGCCCAGAUGUGAUGACUAAUGAAGCCUGAUUAAGUACUCUGAAGAAUCUGGUUUGAAAUUUUCCAUAACUGUGUUUCUAAAUGGGGCUAAUUAUUGAGUAAAAGGACUUUAGUCUUCAAUGUGAGUUGAUCAAAUGUUUUUCAAAGGCCCCUGAGAGUUACAGUUUUAAUUUUAUUAUUUUUAAAAUACCAAAUUUACAAACUGAAUGCAUUGAACCUAAAAACUGAAGGAAAUUUGAUUUUCCCAUUUGUAUCUCUAAUCAAGGAAAAUUGGAUAUUUUGAACUUGUAUCUCUGGUAUACUGAACAUUCAUUAAAGACCUAAAUAUAAGUGAUCUUUGCUGUGCACAGAAAGCCCCACUUUGGUAUGGUAAGAGAGCUAAGUCCGCAGAAAGGAAAUAGGUGUUUAUGUAUUUACGUACGUCUGUGAUAUAUGCAUCAAACUUUGUGAUUAAAAUAUUUGUUAAAUAAAAAUCAAAAUUCUGAGUCUGAUAGUCAUUUAUCUUGCUGCUGCGUCCUGAAACAUAAUUUGAAAAAGAUAUUAACAGUUUCAUUUGACAAAUGUGCUUUUAGUCAAAAAAAAAUACAUAUACACACCUUAAAAUUGGGCGGUUGCGUGGCCCAGGUUAAGAAGCUAAAUGGAAUCUGGAAAUGAAUGUGUCCCAAAAGGAUGAGGGCUUUUUCAGAAGCUUUCGAGCUGGAAGAUUGGGAGUAUUUCUUAUGUGACGCCAUAUAUACACUCAUAUAUUUGCAUGUAUGUACAUAUGCACAUUCAUAUGACCUGGGCCUUCAAAAGCAGCUAAUAAGGUAGCUGACCAUGUAUUUGGUAGAUACAUCUUUGUCCUCCUUUGCCCAGGCUCCAAACUGCUAGCUAUAAUUUUAUCAGAAAGCUUGAGCAUUUAUUGUCUUAGAAGAUGCUCUCUUCUUAUGUGGACCACCAGCGUGGUUGCCAAGGCAGUGGUCACGCUGCUGGCAUGAAGGUCUGCAGCUCCCAAUAAAUAAUGUGCUCUGGGGAACCCCUGUCCUGAGAUACAUUAACAAAUGUGACUUGGAAAGAGGGUUCCAUUAUAAAUUCAGAAGAUGUGCUGAAGUUACAACAGGCCUGCUGGACUUCUCAGAGCCUUUCAUGUGCAAACGCACCUUGUAAAUCCACCAAGAAAACAACAACAACAACAACAACUGCUCUUCAAGCUCUAAUCAUAGGACCACCUGUUGCUGGAACACAUUUAGGCAAACAGAUCUAGACAGGUGGUGGGAGGUGAUAAAUCCAUGGCGUAAAACAUGUUUCGGAGAAGUCGUAAGUAUGAUGAGACAGUGUAUAUAUUGGUCUUUGCAUCCCUAUCAAAAUCUAAGCUGAAUUUCCCUUAGUCUCUCCACUCAGGUCCAUCAUCACCUAUAACCCACUGCCGACAGGGCUAUAAUGAAUAAUGGUGGUCAAUGAAUUCUACUCCCAAAGAAAGCAACUAUUUGGGGAUGGAGGAACUCACCAAGGAGAAGUAACUCAAGAGGGGCCUUGAGUGUUUGGGAGGAUGGAGAGGCUGGAGUAGGCUGCCAGGAUGAUGACAUCCAUCUCCAGGCCAGACUAAGCGAAGUCAGAGUAAUAGAGGGCAGGUUGGUGUGGUGACGCCAAGGAGAGCAGGCAUUCACGUCUUUGCUGGGGGCCUGGGAAAAGUUCAUCUUUGAGUUCCACUGUUUCAACUGUCAUGGUGAUAAGCUCUCAAAGUGAAGAUCAGAGGUAAAUAUAUAAAUGUUCCAUUUCACUGCUGGCAAGCAGAAGGCAUCAAGGAAAUAAUAGCCAAGUUUAUUGUUACGCUUGAUCACUAAGGGGGGGGGCCCUUAAAAAAACUGAAUCCUUUCUAGAUCCUUUUGUUCACCUACGCAUCCUGCUUUGCACCAAAUCACAAAACAAGCUGAAUUCCGGUGGGGGCCAGCAAGUAACAGAGAUACCAUACCGUGGAUGCUACUGGGUUAAAUAGCUGAAAUACGGAGCAUCCACAAACUGGGUUUAGGAAAAAGAAAGAAGAAAACACCCAGGCACAGCUAGCGUGUUUGCAAGAGCUGCAGCAUUCAGUGGUGCCCAGCACACCCUGCUCAAGCUGGAGCAGUUACCCAGGGUCGAGAACAGAGUCCAGAGAAGGUAGAAACAACCUGUGUCCGUCAACAAACGGAAAGAGCAAGUGUGAGGAAAUUCUGACACACGCUACAACAUGGAUGAAUCUUGAAGUCUUAUGUUAACUUGCACGGAGAAGCCUCCGUUCACAUGCAAAUGCAGCUGGAAAUCAUACAAAUAUUUAACCAUCUUUUCUGAUACAAGAUUUCGACACUGAUGAUGAAGCCCCUGACUUCCGUUCAACAAACUUUGUUACCUGAGGUAAACCUCGGGAUCUGUUUUUUUCUGCAUAUGCCGCAUAGAUAGGAAUAUCCACUGCCCUCUUCUUUGAGAAAAUACCCAUGAGGCUCUUCUGUCAGGGUUUCGCGUCUCUCUUCAGAAUGGUUAAAGUAUGCUCAGUAAAAGGAUAAGAGUUUUAAACAAGUUGUUCAGUCAACUAAAGGAGCCCAUUUCACCACGCCCUCCCUAUGCAGCCUCUACAUCCAGUGGCCUCUUUCAAUCUACCUCAUACUAGAAACCUGUCUUGGCAAAUUAGCACGUGUUGCAGCUCUAUUUGUUCAUUUGACGGACCUGCAGUUACACUCAUAAGCUUCAGGGAAUUAAAGGGAGCACCGGAAUGUCAGCAUUUACAAAGCCAGGAGCCACUAGGCACACUCUCACAGAGAGCAAGCUUCCUCUAGAAAGACCUCAUAUUUUUCUCAAACCCUAAGAGAUGAAUAGUGGACUUUCUCACUGAAAGCCAACAAGCUUCAGAAUGACACAAGGGUCCAUUGGAGUCACCACACCUCUUCACAGGUUGAGGGGAAAAAAGGAGAAAUUUACUUGCCUGACUGACAUGACUGACAGUUGCGACAAUUCAUUAAGUAAAUCUUUCCAUUUUCCGACUUGCCCUGUGUAGGCAACAGUGAGGACUUUGCUUCUACUGCCAACCUUCAGAGGCAACACAGGUCCUCCCGGACCACCCGAGAUUUCAGCACAACUGAACGUGGUGUCUCCGUGAACUUCGUUCAGCUCAUAAUUGACUAACCACAAAAGACCAGCUAAAAUCACAGUAUCAGUGGGUUCCUCCGAUUGUAGUGACUGGUCUCAGCCUCGGCGUGAUCAGAAAAGGUCACCACAGAGCUGCUUCCCAAGCCAGUGAAAAACCACACGAUAACACAGAUGGAUUUUAAAGGAGGAAUCUUUUUUUCAACACGUCACUUCCUGUGCUUCAAAGAAAUGUUAUACAUGAACAAUUAAAAUCAUAUAUGAAAAAAUAAGCAAAGCUCCAAUAGGUUCCUGUUCUAUCAAAUUACAAUAAUUUUUAAAAGACAUUUAAAUUCCUGACUCUAUUUAAGAAUAACUACUUUAACUCCCAGCAAAUUAUAGGACUUUUUUGUGAUAUCAUUUAAUAAUUACUAAUAACAUUUUGACUUUAAUAUAGAAUAAAAAAUACACAGAUGAAAUUAAUAAUUACUACUAAGUGCAUUGGAGAGAUUUUUUCCAACUUUCCUUCAAAAUUUAAGUAAUUAGCCUUCUGGGUAAUAAUCUUUAGUCUUCCUAUUAUUAUUCAUUUGAUACUUUAAAGGUGCUAUGAGACUUCUAUUUCAAACAGAGAGGGUUAACUAUAACCUAAUAACCAUUUGCAGUAGCUUUCAUUAGUUACCAUGUUAUUUAUUAUUCAACGAGGACAUUUUUUUCAAGUAAAAAGGAUGCUAUUAAUUACACUAGGACAAAACGCUUGACCAGAACCCUCCUGGUCCAACAGGGACAUACGGUCACUCUACUUUUAGUGAAAGAAGGCUGGUCAAAAAGUUUAAUUUUUGCUUUAUAAGAGGAACAAAUAAAUGUAAGUGGGGAGACAAGAAAAACUGCCAGUAUGAUCAGAUAUUUUAAAAUGUAAAAUACUGGCAUUUGGGGGUGUCACCAUGUACUCUUCUUUGUCCCCUGACUAAUGGGGGUGGAGGCUCAAAGACCUGUGGCCAAAGUUUAAUUUUUGGCAAGACAUAUAUUGCAUUGGUUCUGCUAUGAUCCCGUUUACCCAAGCCAAAAAUUGGCUAAGGUAAUUCCAUCUGAUGGCAAACGCUUCCUGCAAGGAGAAUACACAAUACAGCAUAACCUGCAUUCCCCAGCCUUUCCCCCCACCCCGCCUUGUUCUCCCAGUUCCCACAAAGAACGAGGGACUACCUUCUUAAGAGGCCAGCGGGGGCUCCCUCCAGGCCACCAAGCUGAGCGCUGGCAGCAGGGGGAAGGGACAAGUGCCAAGUCCUAACAUUUUGCACGUGGACUGUGCUUUGUGACACAGACUAGACUAGAGGUGAGCACCCGCCCUCGUUUCAGCCUACAGGUGAGUUUUGUGUGGACACACCUUUGUGCCAGUCAGGAAACUGCUACCUCUCUGUCUUCAUGGCUUCUCAGAAGAAAGGAGUAACAUCCUAGAAAUGGGAAAAGGCCAAACCCAAAUAAGAAGCUACAAGAAAGAGACAGAAGGCAAUAAAGAAAAGAGAAAGUUGAACCCAGAGAUAGGAUGGAGACACUGUUUUGCGACACAGUUUUCUUCCAAAAUCUUAGAGGGAAGUUGAUUUCCAGAGAAUAUCUGAUCUGUCUUCCUGGCUCCAGACACUGCGUGUUUAAACAUCUCCAAGUUUUUGGAGGUGAGCCUCCUACAGAGUUUUC